rnacentral:rRNA from 1 species
AUUGAACGCUGGCGGCAGGCUUAACACAUGCAAGUCGAGCGGGGAAAGGUAGCUUGCUACCUGACCUAGCGGCGGACGGGUGAGUAAUGCUUAGGAAUCUGCCUAUUAGUGGGGGACAACAUUCCGAAAGGAAUGCUAAUACCGCAUACGCCCUACGGGGGAAAGCAGGGGAUCUUCGGACCUUGCGCUAAUAGAUGAGCCUAAGUCAGAUUAGCUAGUUGGUGGGGUAAAGGCCUACCAAGGCGACGAUCUGUAGCGGGUCUGAGAGGAUGAUCCGCCACACUGGGACUGAGACACGGCCCAGACUCCUACGGGAGGCAGCAGUGGGGAAUAUUGGACAAUGGGCGUAAGCCUGAUCCAGCCAUGCCGCGUGUGUGAAGAAGGCCUUUUGGUUGUAAAGCACUUUAAGCGAGGAGGAGGCUACUUGGAUUAAUACUCUAGGAUAGUGGACGUUACUCGCAGAAUAAGCACCGGCUAACUCUGUGCCAGCAGCCGCCGUAACAC